rnacentral:rRNA from 1 species
GUUAACGGCCAUAUCAUGAUGACAAAACCAGUUCUCGUCCGAUCACUGAAGUUAAGCAUCAUUGAGCGUGGUUAGUACUUGGAUGGGUGACCGCUUGGGAACACCACGUGCUGUUAGCUCAA